rnacentral:rRNA from 1 species
GUCGAGCGGAGCGAGGGUGCUUGCACCUUAGCUUAGCGGCGGACGGGUGAGUAAUGCUUAGGAAUCUGCCUAUUAGUGGGGGACAACAUUCCGAAAGGGAUGCUAAUACCGCAUACGCCCUACGGGGGAAAGCAGGGGAUCUUCGGACCUUGCGCUAAUAGAUGAGCCUAAGUCGGAUUACCUAGUUGGUGGGGUAAAGGCCUACCAAGGCGA